rnacentral:rRNA from 1 species
GACAGCGGANGGANAUUACAGAGUUUUCUAAACUCCCAACCCUAUGUGAACUUACCUUUGUUGCUUCGGCGGCGGAGGCUACCCUAUAGGGGAUACCACAUAGUGGUUACCCUGUAGUCCCAGGUGCUAGAUCGUGCUCAACGUCUUAUCGUCUACGACUAGCUACCCGGUGGCCCUCCCCGCCGGCGGCCAACUAAACUCUGUUUUUAUGGCAUUCUGAAUUAUAAACUUAAUAAGUUAAAACUUUCAACAACGGAUCUCUUGGUUCUGGCAUCGAUGAAGAACGCAGCGAAAUGCGAUAAGUAAUGUGAAUUGCAGAAUUCAGUGAAUCAUCGAAUCUUUGAACGCACAUUGCGCCCAUUAGCAUUCUAGUGGGCAUGCCUGUUCGAGCGUCAUUUCACCACUUAAGCCCUGUUGCUUAGCGUUGGGAGCCUACGGCACUGCCCGUAGCUCCCUAAAGUGAUUGGCGGAGUUGGUUCUCACUCUAGGCGUAGUAAAUCUAUCUCGCCUCUGUAGUGGUUCCGGCCCCUGCCGUAAAACCCCCUAUAUCAAAGGUUGACCUCGGAUCAGGUAGGAAUACCCGCUGAACUUAAGCAUAUCAAUAAGCGGAGGAA